rfam:Myotis davidii contig94281, whole genome shotgun sequence.
UGUGGGGGGCAGGGGGGCCCCCUCAGCCCAGAUUGUGAGAGGGCACAGGCCAGGCCGAGGGACCCCACCAGUGUAGG